AUUGAACGCUGGCGGCAGGCCUAACACAUGCAAGUCGAGCGGAUGAAGGGAGCUUGCUCCUGGAUUCAGCGGCGGACGGGUGAGUAAUGCCUAGGAAUCUGCCUGGUAGUGGGGAUAACGUCCGGAAACGGGCGCUAAUACCGCAUACGUCCUGAGGGAGAAAGUGGGGAUCUUCGGACCUCACGCUAUCAGAUGAGCCUAGGUCGGAUUAGCUAGUUGGUGGGGUAAAGGCCUACCAAGGCGACGAUCCGUAACUGGUCUGAGAGGAUGAUCAGUCACACUGGAACUGAGACACGGUCCAGACUCCUACGGGAGGCAGCAGUGGGGAAUAUUGGACAAUGGGCGAAAGCCUGAUCCAGCCAUGCCGCGUGUGUGAAGAAGGUCUUCGGAUUGUAAAGCACUUUAAGUUGGGAGGAAGGGCAGUAAGUUAAUACCUUGCUGUUUUGACGUUACCAACAGAAUAAGCACCGGCUAACUUCGUG
rnacentral:rRNA from 1 species